CAACCAAGCCCUCCAGCAAGGAUUCAGGUUGUUGAGUGCUUGGGAGGGACACCCGCCUCCACUCUGCAAGAACUCAUAAAGGGAGAUGAGGGGAUCGUGGGAGGGAGGGAGGAGGGUGCCACUGAUCCCCUGAACCCCUGCCUCCGCCUCCAGGGUGCCCCUCCGGCCUCGCCAUGAGGCUCUUCCUGUCGCUCCCGGUCCUGGUGGUGGUUCUGUCGAUCGUCUUGGAAGGCCCAGCCCCAGCCUAGGGGGCUCCAGAAGUCUCCAACCCCUUUGAUGGCCUGGAGGAGUUAGGAAAGACCCUGGAGGACUACACUCGGGAAUUCAUCAACCGCAUCACACAGAGUGAACUUCCUGCCAAGAUGUGGGAUUGGUUUUCAGAGACAUUUCGGAAAGUGAAGGAGAAACUCAAGACUGACUCAUGAGGACCUGAAGGGUGACAUCCCAGGAGGGGCCUCUGAAAUUUCCAACACCCCAGCGCCUGUACUGAGGACGCCCUCCAUGUGUGUCCAAUGUGGUCACACGCCCAGGUGUGACCAAUAAAAAUCCUAUGGAAAAUUCUCUCUGGCCAGGCAUGGUGGCUGACGCCUGUAAUCCCAGCACUUUGGGAGGCUGAGGCGGGCGGAUCACAAGGUCAGGAGAUUGAGCCCAUCCUGGCUAACACGGUGAAACCCCGUCUCUACUAAAAAUACAAAAAAAAUAGCCAAGCGUGGUGGCAGGCGCCUGUAGUCCCAGCUAUUCGGGAGGCUGAGGC
rnacentral:lncRNA from 1 species